rnacentral:ncRNA from 1 species
UACCGUAUAGGUAUUGUCGGUGAAAAGGGAACCCGGUGGGAAUCCGGGACGAUACCAGUCGCUGUGUGCGCUAAAGGAACGCGUUUCGUCGACGAAAGCCGGUCAUUGGGAAACUGAGAAGGCAGAGACGCGCUUCGCCGGAGCUUUGCCGUUUUAAAAGGCAGCUUUCCGAUAUGGCGCAAAGUCAAAAGACCUGCUUUGGCG